rnacentral:lncRNA from 1 species
AGUGGUUAAUAAACACAAAAGGUUCAGAGGAACAGAGUGUAGGACCCAGGUGGGCAAUAGAAAGAUUUCACUGCAAUUCAGACAGUGGUGAAUGGUGUGCUCAUUUCCCCAGGACUGAGGUAGACUUUUAUAUGUCAGCCUUAUCUCUAGGGGGUUAUUUACAUCUCUGAGGACUUCCAUGACACCUAUUAUGAUGAACCUCU